rnacentral:rRNA from 1 species
AGGACGAACGCUGGCGGCGUGCUUCAUACAUGCAAGUCGAACGAUAAGGUCUCUUCGGAGAUACAUAAGUGGCGGACGGGUGAGUAAAAUGUAGAGAAUCUGCCCUAGAGAUGGGGACAACAGUUGGAAACGACUGCUAAUACCCAAUAUGAGCGUAGCUGAAAUGCUAUUCUUGAAAACUCCGGUGCUCUGGGAUGAGUCUGCAUCUGAUUAGCUAGUUGGGGGUGUAAUGGACCACCAAGGCGACGAUCAGUAGCUGGUUUGAGAGGAUGAUCAGCCACAAUGGGACUGAGACACGGCCCAUACUCCUACGGGAGGCAGCAGUAGGGAAUUUUGCGCAAUGGGGGAAACCCUGACGCAAGCAACGCCGCGUGAUUGAUGAAGCCCUUCGGGGUGUAAAGAUCUGUCAGUGGGGACGAAAAAUGACGGUACCCACAGAGGAAGCAUCGGCUAACUCCGUGCCAGCCGCCGC